ACCUUUCAAGUGAAGCAAUUAUGGAAAUAAGACAUCCAGAUGCGUAGUAAUUUCAUAAUAACUACACACCCAUGUAGUGCCAGAGAAGGCCUCAAGGUUUCAAACCCGCUUAAGUAUGCAGUGAUGCCAAUUAGGGCGAUAACUUGUAUUUAUGUGGCGCCAUCCUGCCCCACCAGCCUAAACUAGUGCAUCAAGGCAUACAAUUAACAGUCACAUAUAAGGAGUGACAAUAUUGGGAACACCAAGGAUCUUUUCAGAAGGGAAUACGGGCAGAAGAAACCUUAAGGGCACAUGGCUUUUCUCUUCCCAUGGAACAAGCUCUCCCAGUGAGUCACAGCUGACCGGGAGGGCAGAAUGAAGCUCUGGCGUCUUCCUUCCUCAAGUCUUCUAGAAAGAGGGGUGACACUGACAGAGAUGAAGACUUGGCAUAUCUGAGCCUGGGGCUGGGAAGGAUGAGUGAUGGUGUUUUGAGAGUGUCAGAUAAAUGGAAUCCUAUUCUUGACACUGGCUUCUUUGAUUCAGCACAACGUCUCUGAAAUCCAACCAAGUUAUGGUUCAACACAAGCUUCAAAAGGCGCCUGCUACCUGGUACCUCAGAGACACAUGCUCCUUCCACCUUCUGGCUCCAACUGUCCCAUGGGUGGGUCUCAGAGCCCUCUGUAUCCAGCUGGCAAAUGGGCAAAGAGAGGAAAAGGCAGCUUUGCCUCCUAAGGAAACUCAACCCAGAAUCUCACAUAUAUGUGUUCCCACAAGCAGCUAGAAUCUGAAUGCAAGGGAUGCUGGGGCCACCACAGAGGGGCCCUGUCCCCUUAUGUUCCCUGUGCCCAACUGCUCAUUGGCUCUACUGUGACUUCCCAUAUUUUUCUAUAAAGGAAAGAGGAUCACUCAAAGAACAUCAGGUCCUAUGAAUAUGAGAUUGAGAUGUGACAGUCAUCGGGAUGUGUCAGACACACAGACAAGGCCCGGAGCUGCCUGGCAGGAAUAUAUUUGAUUUGUUAUCGUCAGAUGUAUAUUGUCUAGUGUCCUGUCUCUUGCUCAUCUCUCUUUUCUCUGAAUUGUCAGUGAUUCUGACUAUUCUUUUCUGAUGUGAUCAUUCCUACAGCUCUAGGGAUGUGGCAGCAUUAUAAAUCAUAACAUCAGCAACUAUAUCCUUUAUGUCUCCACUAUUUAUUAAUUGUAGACCAAGCAGAUUUAAAACUCCAUGCCAUACAAGCCGGUGCAAA